AUACCAAUUCGUUAGCAUAAUAUUAUUACGUUAUUGUGUACAGAAUGAAACACAGGAUCGCAGCUUGCCCCACACACAAGCUGCUGCCAUUUCAGAGUAUCACGCAUCACGUAACGCUGUUGGGACACAAACGUCGGAGCCUCUGAAGAAAACCGUUGGAGUGCAGACUAGCAAAAAAAGGCAACAAGCAAAGGGCAGCCAAGCAAACCUCAAUGCAAAACCCAUGAGAAGCAUUGGUGUCCAAGUAGACUUGGCCGCUAAGUCAUCCAACACGCAACGCCGUGCAAGGUCACUGUCCCCAGUUCGUUCUUCAACACCAGUGCUUGACCACACUGUGCCUGCUAUGGGCCUUGCAUCUGGAGACGACACAAUAACAACAGUAUGCCCAGAUGACAGCCUAUACAUGCCAACU